UGACAUGCGCACUGGUGGCUGGAUGGACGGAUGGACGGAUGGCGGGCGGCGAGGAGGUUGGCCUCGUGUCGGCGCCUCAGGAGUUCGGGAGACCGGGGCCCGGCCCGGCCCGGCCCGGGGACUGAGUGAAUACUGAUGAGUUAAUGGGGACUCGGCUGACUGAUACGAAAUCGAUACCACUAGGCGGAAACGUGCAAGUGAAAACUGAUGAGAUAAUGGGGACUUGACUAACUGAGAAGAAAUCAAUACUACCGGGUGAAAGCAUGCAAGAUCAGGUCAUGGUAAUUGACAGCAGCAAAGAACUAACGGAAGGAUACAGACUGGAUGCGACAGAGGAUGCCUGCUCAAUAUGAUGCACCCAAGGUUAAUAAUUUACAGACAGCUAUGGAUUGAAGUGCACAGUGAAAGGUCAUGGUAAUUGACAGCAGCAAAGGACUAACAGAAGGAUACGGACUGGAUGUGACAGAGGAUGCCUGCUCAAUAUGAUUUACAGAUAGCUGGGGAUUGAAGUGCACGGAGCCCAGGAGCAUGAACAAGCUGUGGCUCGGAAUGUGAAUUUAAACGCAGUGCAGGUUAUGGAUUCUGAAAUUCAGUUUUUAACCACAAUAUAUAAAUUAAUAUCUACAAGACUUGCUUCACGUCCCCAACCUUGCCCGCCCCACCAUUG